rnacentral:tmRNA from 1 species
CCCCGUUGCACUUGCACACCGAGCGACUAUAUUCGAUGUGUUCCUUCGGGGACUAUGGACAUAAACGCGCUCGUAAUAAGCGGAUCGGACCCGGGGGCGGUACCCGGCGGCUCCACCAGAUACCCUCGUUGGGGGAAAACGGGGCCGAAACAGGAUCGACGGACGUCUAAAGGAGUUUGCUUUGUCUCGGCGGGGUGCCACCGUUAUCGGUCCGUAAAGCAUAAUUGCCAACGACAAUCGUGCUCCGGUUGCUCUGGCUGCGUAAGCAGUCCGAAAUACCGAAAUCUAAGCCCUUGCGCCUAGCAGCGUAAGGCGGGGUUCGCAGGUACCUGGCAACAGAAACCUGCAUU